GGAACACGAUGCUGGAAUUACUGGGCGUAAGGGUCCGUAGGUGGCUUUGUAAGUUAGAUGUGAAAGCUUACUUGCUCAACCUUAAAAUUGCAUCUAAAACUGCGGAGCUAGAGCGCAGGAGAAGUUGGCGGAAUUCCCGGUGUA
rnacentral:rRNA from 1 species